AGUGAACGCUGGCGGUAGGCCUAACACAUGCAAGUCGAACGGCAGCACAGUAAGAGCUUGCUCUUACGGGUGGCGAGUGGCGGACGGGUGAGGAAUACAUCGGAAUCUACUUUUUCUUGGGGGAUAACGUAGGGAAACUUACGCUAAUACCGCAUACGACCUACGGGUGAAAGCAGGGGAUCUUCGUACCUUGCGCGAUUGAAUGAGCCGAUGUCGGAUUAGCUAGUUGGCGGGGUAAAGGCCCACCAAGGCGACGAUCCGUAGCUGGUCUGAGAGGAUGAUCAGCCACACUGGAACUGAGACACGGUCCAGACUCCUACGGGAGGCAGCAGUGGGGAAUAUUGGACAAUGGGCGCAAGCCUGAUCCAGCCAUACCGCGUGGGUGAAGAAGGCCUUCGGGUUGUAAAGCCCUUUUGUUGGGAAAGAAAAGCAGCAGGUUAAUACCCCGCUGUUCUGACGGUACCCAAAGAAUAAGCACCGGCUAACUUCGUG
rnacentral:rRNA from 1 species